rnacentral:lncRNA from 1 species
GUUCACCACUUUGUGUGUCCAAGGACCACCUACUUUUUACAUGUGACAAGAACUACCCACCUCCACUCUUCAGGAUAGAACAUGCUGAAGAAAAGAGUUGCAAUGAGAAAAUAUAUGGGAACAAAAUACCUAUGCAAUGCAGAAGUCUGCAUAACUGAACCACUCAGAGGAAAAAGGUGCUCUUCCUCACUCUCUGGCUUGCUCACUUUCUGGGAAGACAUUUGUCAUACAGUGAGAUACCCUACGAAAAGUCUAAAAUUGCAAGAAGUGAGAGGCUCCAGACAAUAGCCAGAUUGCCAUUUCAGGACACCUCCUACAUCUGAGGAAAUAUGCAUUGAUCUUGCAGUACUUUUCUCCUCCAAAUAAAAGUCAGUAUGAUAACAAC